UACGGGGCGCAGCAGGCGCGAAAACUUUACAAUGCGAGAAAUCGUGAUAAGGGAACCCCGAGUGCCCGUAAAUUCGGGCUGUCCGCCAGUGUAAAUAACUGGUGAAGAAAGGGCCGGGCAAGACCGGUGCCAGCCGCCGCGGUAAUACCGGCGGCUCGAGUGGUGGCCACUAUUACUGGGCUUAAAGCGUCCGUAGCUGGAUUGUUAAGUCUCUUGGGAAAUCCACCGGCUCAACCGAUGGGCGUUCAGGAGAAACUGGCAAUCUAGGGACCGGGAGAGGUGAGAGGUACUCCAGGGGUAGGAGUGAAAUCCUGUAAUCCUUGGGGGACCACCUGUGGCGAAGGCGUCUCACUAGAACGGCUCCGACAGUGAGGGACGAAAGCUGGGGGAGCAAACCGGAUUAGAUACCCGGGUAGUCCCAGCUGUAAACGAUGCGCGUUAGGUGUAUCGGUGACCACGAGUCAUCGAGGUGCCGAAGGGAAACCGUGAAAC
rnacentral:rRNA from 1 species